rnacentral:rRNA from 1 species
AGAGCGAACGCUGGCGGCAGGCCUAAUACAUGCAAGUCGAGCGGUCCCUUCGGGGGGCAGCGGCGGACGGGUGAGUAACGCGUGGGAACGUGCCCUUUGGUACGGAACAACUGAGGGAAACUUCAGCUAAUACCGUAUGUGCCCUUCGGGGGAAAGAUUUAUCGCCAUUGGAGCGGCCCGCGUUGGAUUAGGUAGUUGGUGAGGUAAAGGCUCACCAAGCCUACGAUCCAUAGCUGGUCUGAGAGGAUGAUCAGCCACACUGGGACUGAGACACGGCCCAGACUCCGUACGGGAGCAGCAGUAGGGAUCUUGCGCAAGUGGGACGAAAGCCUGAACGCAAGCCAGUCGCCGCGUAGAAUGAUAGGAAGGUCUUAAGGUAUUAGUUAAAUUUCUUUACGACCGGGGUAC